GUGGGGAAUCUUGCGCAAUGGGCGAAAGCCUGACGCAGCCAUGCCGCGUGAAUGAUGAAGGUCUUAGGAUUGUAAAAUUCUUUCACCGGGGACGAUAAUGACGGUACCCGGAGAAGAAGCUCCGGCUAACUUCGUGCCAGCAGCCGCGGUAAUACGAAGGGGGCUAGCGUUGCUCGGAAUUACUGGGCGUAAAGGGCGCGUAGGCGGACAGCUUAGUCAGAGGUGAAAGCCCAGGGCUAAACCUUGGAAUUGCCUUUGAUACUGGCUGUCUUGAGUUUGGGAGAGGUGAGUGGAACUCCGAGUGUAGAGGUGAAAUUCGUAGCUAUUCGGAAGAACACCAGUGGCGAAGGCGACUCACUGGCCCAAUACUGACGCUGAGGCGCGAAAGCGUGGGGAGCAAACAGGAUUAGAAACCCCGGUAGUCC
rnacentral:rRNA from 1 species